GACAGAGGAUGCAAGCGUUAUCCGGAAUGAUUGGGCGUAAAGCGUCUGUAGGUGGCUUUUUAAGUCCGCCGUCAAAUCCCAGGGCUCAACCCUGGACAGGCGGUGGAAACUACCAAGCUGGAGUACGGUAGGGGCAGAGGGAAUUUCCAGUGGAGCGGGUGAAAUGCGUAGAUCUUGGAAAGACCACCAAUGGCGAAGGCACUCUACUGGGCCAUUACUGACACUAAGAGACGAAAGCUAGGGGAGCAAAUGGG
rnacentral:rRNA from 1 species